UACUGUUAUGUUCUGCAAGGCACAGUUGC
rnacentral:sRNA from 1 species